rfam:Mesocricetus auratus contig191428, whole genome shotgun sequence.
UUAAAGGUCCUUUUCAGGGCCACCCACCUAAUCUCAUAAAGAGCUAU